rnacentral:tRNA from 1 species
GAGUAUAGAGCAGUUUGGUAGCUCAUAAGGCUCAUAACCUUGGGGUUGCGGGUUCGAUU